rnacentral:rRNA from 1 species
CUACGUGCCAGCAGCCGCGGUAAUACGGAGGGUGCGAGCGUUAAUCGGAAUAACUGGGCGUAAAGGGCACGCAGGCGGUGACUUAAGUGAGGUGUGAAAGCCCCGGGCUUAACCUGGGAAUUGCAUUUCAUACUGGGUCGCUAGAGUACUUUAGGGAGGGCUAGAAUUCCACGUGUAGCAGUGAAAUGCGUAGAGAUGUGGAGGAAUACCGAUGGCGAAGGCAGCCUCCUGGGAUAACACUGACGUUCAUGCUCGAAAGCGUGGGUAGCAAACAGGAUUAGAUACCCUGGUAGUCCACGCCCUAAACGAUGUCAAUUAGCUGUUGGGCAACUUGAUUGCUUAGUAGCGUAGCUAACGCGUGAAAUUGACCGCCUGGGGAGUACGGUCGCAAGAUUAAAACUCAAAGGAAUUGACGGGGACCCGCACAAGCGGUGGAUGAUGUGGAUUAAUUCGAUGCAACGCGAAGAACCUUACCUGGUCUUGACAU